UACGUAGGUUGCAAGCGUUGUCCGGAUUUACUGGGUGUAAAGGGCGUGUAGGCGGAGAUGCAAGUCAGGAGUGAAAUCCCGGGGCUCAACCCCGGAACUGCUUUUGAAACUGUAUCCCUUGAGUGUCGGAGAGGCAAGCGGAAUUCCUAGUGUAGCGGUGAAAUGCGUAGAUAUUAGGAGGAACACCAGUGGCGAAGGCGGCUUGCUGGACGAUAACUGACGCUGAGGCGCGAAAGCGUGGGGAGCAAACAGGAUUAGAUACCCUGGUAGU
rnacentral:rRNA from 1 species